rnacentral:rRNA from 11 species
GUAGAUACUGAGAUUUCUGUGACCCUGCACCGGAUCCUGUCUGAUUGUGGAAGCAAAGCAGGGUCAACCCUGGCUAGUAUUUGCAUGGGAGAUCAACAAGAAAUACCAGGUGCUGUAGACU